GCGGCGGUAGCUCAGUUGGUAGAGCGUCUCCCUUCCAAGGAGAAGGUCGCCGGUUCGAUCCCGGUCCGCCGCUCCA
rnacentral:tRNA from 1 species